UCCCUCUUUUGGAUUAUUCAAUAUAGGGUAAACUAGCAGCCACAUCCUGAGAACACUCAAACAGCUUACAGAAAGAUGCACACGGGUAGGGACUAAGGCUUCCUGCCAAGGGAAGAAGUAAAGUCUCCUAAGAACAGCCCUAUGAAGUGAGCCAUCUUCCUGCCCCAAACGAGCCUUCAGAUGACUACAGCCAGGCCAACGUCUUGUCUACAAUGUCAUCAUGACACAGGAAUAGGUAUGGAAGGAUAUACAAGAAUUUCAAACAUUUAUUGAUUGUGCAAACAAUGAUUGCCUGACAGACGGUAAUGGUACUUCCAGCAUUUCCCUUAAAGACUGUGAAACUAACAAUCUGGUAUUUCUCACUGUUGAGUUUUCCUGACCUUCAGCUUUGAAAGGCCAUCUCCCUAAGGGAAAGCAGUAAGAUCUAGAAGCUAAAACAAGAGGCUGAGGAAUCUGAGUUAUCGGAGAGCACAUCUGUACAUACACUUGCAGACCUGUUGUGCUGAUGGGGGUAAAGCUCCAAUGCAUGUACUACUGGAGACUGGUAUCUUCAGUUGCUCCCAGUGACCUGCACUCGCCAUCCAGUCAUGAAGGCAUUGAUCACUAGGAAUGAAGAGGGGUGCCUCUUCGUCUUCCAGUUCCUUGUGGCGAAGUCCGGCUCCUGACGGUGGAAGCAUCAAUGGAAAGAAAUAACUUUUCGUCUUAUCUUACUAUAAGCAGCACUGACAUUCUAGAAAGCAUUCCUUUGAUGGCAAGUCCUGUGCCAAUGUAGAUUCAGCCAUUUUGAUACAGGCUGUUUUGUUAUAGUCAAUUUGCUGACACACAGCUUUGACACAGUCAUUUUGAUGCCAGGAACAUCUUGAUGUGGCUGCCUUGAAGUGGCUGUUUUGAUAUGGGAACAUUUUGACUCUGCCUAAAAACAAACCAAUAAACUUUUCACUUAGAAAAUGUUAUUACCAAGUAAUGUACAUUGACUGAACUCACCCACUCCCUGAAGUAGCAGCCAGACUGCAGAGGUGGAUAGUGGAAACCUUGAUGGGGAAAAAAAUCACCAUGAGCGGGGGAGAAGGCUGGAACAGUGGACCAAAUCAAUAACACAAACUGAAGAAAGAGAAAGCCCCAUUUUCCAAAGGAGGAAACAGCGGCUCAGCAACAGGAGGUAUCUUGCCCAAGGUCACCCAGCUCAGAUUUGGCUGGGAGGCCAUCAAACCGGGCAGAUGCCAUACUCAUUCCAGACCCCGUGAGGAAGAAAGCGGCAGUAUGGGUUAUAGUUGAGAUUACUCUGGGGGAAGCCAGCUGCCAUGUCUUGAGUACCCACAUGCUGAGAAACAGACUUCCUGCUAGAGGCCAUACCUAAGGCACUUGAGACCAUGGCAAUCAAGUACAAGGGUUAAGAACUCAGGCUCUGGAGCAAGAUGGCCUGGAUUCAAAUUCAGACUCUGCAACAUCCUGGGUCUGUGAUGUUAUACAGCUUGCUAACUUGUGCCUCAGUUUGGCCAUCUGCAAAAUGGAGAUCCUAACAGUAUCUAUCUUCUGGAGCUGUUGUAAAGACUGAAUGAGAAAAGCUACUAAAAUAUUCCAAGUAGUGUCUGGCAUACAGCAAGAGUCAAAAAGAAGGCUGUUGGGGCGCCUGGGUGGCUCAGUCAGUUGAGCGUCCGACUUCAGCUCAGAUCACGAUCUCGCGGUCCGUGAGUUCGAGCCCCGGGUCGGGCUCUGGGCUGAUGGCUCAGAGCCUGGAGCCUGCUUCCGAUUCUGUGUCUCCCUCUCUCUCUGCCCCUUCCCCGUUCAUGCUCUCUCUCUGUCUCAAAAAUAAAUAAAACGUUAAAAAAAAAAAA